rnacentral:rRNA from 1 species
UACGGGGGGGGCAAGCGUUGUUCGGAAUUACUGGGCGUAAAGAGCUCGUAGGCGGUUUGUUGCGUCGGCUGUGAAAUCCCGAGGCUCAACCUCGGGUCUGCAGUCGAUACGAGCAAACUAGAGUGUUGCAGGGGAGACUGGAAUUCCUGGUGUAGCGGUGAAAUGCGCAGAUAUCAGGAGGAACACCGGUGGCGAAGGCGGGUCUCUGGGCAUUACCUGACGCUGAGGAGCGAAAGUGUGGGGAGCGAACAGG